rnacentral:rRNA from 1 species
UACGUAGGUGGCAAGCGUUAUCCGGAAUUACUGGGCGUAAAGGGUGCGUAGGUGGUUUCUUAAGUCAGAGGUGAAAGGCUACGGCUCAACCGUAGUAAGCCUUUGAAACUGGGAAACUUGAGUGCAGGAGAGGAGAGUGGAAUUCCUAGUGUAGCGGUGAAAUGCGUAGAUAUUAGGAGGAACACCAGUUGCGAAGGCGGCUCUCUGGACUGUAACUGACACUGAGGCACGAAAGCGUGGGGAGCAAACAGGAUUAGAUACCCCUGUAGUCCCUGAG